rnacentral:rRNA from 1 species
UACGUAGGUGGCAAGCGUUGUCCGGAUUUACUGGGCGUAAAGGGCGUGCAGGCGGUCUGUUUAGUCUAGGGUGAAAGCUCCCGGCUUAACUGGGAGAGGUCCUUGGAUACUGGCAGACUCGAGGGGGGUAGAGGAGAGUGGAAUUCCCGGUGUAGUGGUGAUAUGCGUAGAUAUCGGGAGGAACACCAGUGGCGAAGGCGGCUCUCUGGGCCCUACCUGACGCUGAGACGCGAAAGCGUGGGGAGCGAACCGG